GAGAGUAGAGAGUGACAGGUAAGGGCUCUGAACCUUCCUGCGUGCUGCCCAAGGAGUGCCUAGGGCUACCAAGAGGCCCAGGGAGGAACCUUGAGACCUGACUGGGAAAGGCUUUUCUUCCCCGAGAGGACCACUGCUCAGGCUCAGAGGCCAUGGGGUGAAGUGCACACAAAAGUAGGUGUCCAGCCAUGCUCUAAACCCCCCGAAGAUGAAGACCAGGGAGCAGCUUCCUCCAAUGAAGCAGCAGCAAUCAGAGGACCAGGAGGCUGAAGCCCUGAGCCCAGCCAGAGGCAGGAUCAGCCAAGUCUGGAACAGGCUUUAAUUAUUUUAGGCAGAGCUUCUGGUUACUGGGCCUUCAGACUUGGACUAGAACUUCACUACCAGCUUUCCUGGGUCUCCAGCUUGCAGAGAGCAGAUUGCAGAACUUCUUAGCCUCCAUAAUCACGACGUGUUUGCUUCCCCUUCCACCAUGAUUGUAAAUUUCCUGAGGCCUCCCCAGUCCUGCGGAACUGCUUUGAAGAAGACCACUGCGUUGGUAUUUGUGAAAUGUUUUGAGCCUCUAGAUUUAAAUAAGCUCCCGCCCCCACCCAGGCCUGCUCAGAAGAACCCAAGCCACUCAGAAGCAGGAGGCAGCCUUCACCCCAACCAGAUCCAUAUCCAUUCCAGACUCAGGAUUACAACAAUUUGGGAGAGGGUCAACCAAGUCAGAGUCCCACAUGGCAGAAGAGCUGCUUUAGCUUAAGACUCUUAACUCUUUUUCCUCGGGGCAGGAAAGGUUUGAGCCAAUGAAGGAUGAGGCUUUCCAGGCCCAGGACACAACCUUGAUCCAAGGCCUAGUUGUGGCUUUAAUUUUUGUAAAUCAAGCCUCAAGUUUUUCUUCACUCUUUUAGCCAAAGAUAUGUUUCCCAGGAUGCAUGAAAUAAAUAUAUAAAAUGUACCAAAUUA
rnacentral:lncRNA from 1 species